rnacentral:rRNA from 1 species
CCUACGGGUGGCAGCAGUGAGGAAUAUUGGUCAAUGGGAGAGAUCCUGAACCAGCCAAGCCGCGUGAGGGAAGACGGCCCUAUGGGUUGUAAACCUCUUUUGUCGGAGAACAAAACCCGGGACGUGUCCCGGACUGCGUGUAUCCGAAGAAAACGCCUCGGCUAACUCCGUGCCAGCAGCCGCGGUAAUACGGAGGAGGCGGGCGUUAGCCGGAUUUAUUGGGUUUAAAGGGUGCGUAGGCGGUCCGUUAAGUCAGCGGUAAAAUUGCGGGGCUCAACCUCUUCGAGCCGUUGAAACUGGUUUUCUUGAGUGAGCGAGAAGUAUGCGGAAUGCGUGGUGUAGCGGUGAAAUGCAUAGAUAUCACGCAGAACUCCGAUUGCGAAGGCAGCAUACCGGCGCUCAACUGACGCUCAUGCACGAAAGUGUGGGUAUCGAACAGGAUUAGAUACCCUGGUAGUC